GCUGACGGACUCACCGAAUGCACUGGAUCUCUUUCGACCUCCGAAGUUAAGCGGUGGAGAGAGAGCCCGCCUAGUACUGGUCUGGGGGACCGACUGGGAAGCGUUUAGGGUGCUGUCAGCU
rnacentral:rRNA from 1 species